AUUUGCUUGUAUUUUACCCGCAUUUAAUACGUAACAAAAGAAAGAUACAGGCAGACGAUAGUAUUAACAGUGUGGUCAAUUUUGGCGAUAUAAAUACUUAAAAAGGAAGAAAAGAUGAAAGCUUUUAUAGUCUGUGUCAUCCUUUUGAUGCUACAAACGGCUUAUAUAACAGCAUUUGCUACAUACCGACCAAGUUCCUGCUGUACCUACAAACAAUGUGAGCAUAAUUUUGCUUGCAUAGAUCGCCCAGAUCAACAAGACGGAUGCGGAUGUGUAUUUGCUGGAAGUAUCGGCAUCUUUCACAGAAUGUUUCGAGAGGUUAACACCCGCAGAAUAGAAAGUCAGCCUUUAACCGGCAAUGAAUAAUCACAGAUGGUGAAUAAAACAGAAGCGACCACAAGCUAAAAUAAUUUGAAAUAAAUAAGAAGAACAGAACAGAACAUACUUUUAUUUUGGAUUUGUGCAUAGUAUAUCAUCACUGCGAUAUAAAUACACAAAAAAGAUGUAAAGAUGUCACGUUUCUACCUAAUAAAUAAUAUAGGAUUACAUAUAUAGUAUUAAAUUUCAUGUAAAGCUGAAGAAUGAACAAUUAUUGAUUACAGAUGAAAAUAUAGCUAUCACUUAUAAAACAAUUUGCUUAGCAGAGUAUAAACAUAUCUGAUUCAAAAAAAUCAAUUGAAGUUUGAGUAAAAAUGUGUAACAAAAAAAGUAUUC